UGCAAUAAAUUUCCUAAGAGCCCAAGCAAAUAAAAAAUAGCAAUCAACUAAAUUAAUACUUUCUUCUACAGAGAGAUAGAUUCACAGGUUGAAUUUACCAACCUAAACAAUUAAGUAAUAUAGCUAUCACCAACAAAUUCUCGAUAUCAAGAAUAUUAAGCAGGAUGAAACGUGCCCUGACCAUCCAAAAACUCAUCACCACCAUACAACUUCGGGAACAAGCUCUAGGGAACCACAAGUGGCACAUAUGGUCUCAUGAGAUGGGAAACCUAACAAAUAGUGUAUCGGAAGCAUUAGUCAUUACUACUCUUGAUGGUAAUGCUUGAACAUAAUUAACUACUAUGGGCUACCAAGAUGACUAUAAAAAGCUAUGGAGGUUAUCAAAACUCUCAAAGACCAUGGGUUUAUUACAAGCAAAACUCUCAUAGACUAAGAACACCAAAACCAUGAAAAAACUCCCAAAAUAUUUUUUUUAUUCAUCCAAAUCUCACUUGUCAAAAGGCUAUUACAUCACUUUAUAUAGUAAAACUAGAGAACCUUAACAAUAUGAAUAGAAAAAUAAAAAACAGAAAAAUUAUUCACUUUAAAUAGGAAAAAUAAAAUUUUUAAACUGAAUAAAAACAUAACUAAAAAAUAUUUAUUUUUUUAAAAAAGCUUUUCCAUCAGUUUCCCUAGAUUGAAAGGAAAUCAUUUUCGAGUUCAAAUUGUUCACGGUUAAUGGUGUGCAAAAAUUGAAAAAAAAAAAAAAACAUAUAUCCCUAGUCUCAAAACUGGAAUGGCCAUACACCCUAGCCGUUCAGACCAACCCCCAACAGUCAAACACCUUACCAUGACACCUUCUAAGCUUGAUAGGCUAACCGUGAUAUUUUUAGGCCUUGACCCAAUACCCCUGCACAAGCACACAUCAUAUCCUUUGAGUUUUGAGAAGUUAGAGCAAGCACCUACCACCACCCACCGGUACACACCACUAAACCACCCACUAGAGUUUGUGAUGCACACAAAUUCUCUAUGUAGAGGAGGGGCACCAACCUCUCCACCAAUAGCAUAAAAAAGCAACAACUUCUCCAUCAAUGACAAAGGAAGCAUCAAUAUUUUUCACCAAAGUCAAAACAAGCACAACAACCAAUAACUUAACUUUUCAAGUAUUCUCCAUCAUUACACUACUCUCAAUGAGGUAAACUACUGUGAUUAAGAUCUAUAAAUACAUUAAAUCAUCAUGUAAACAUAAACAUUCAGGCCAUCCAGGUUAUUUCAAAAACUUUAUACCAAUUCAUUCAUUCACACAAUACCAACUAUCUUCAUUCUAUUUCUCUUUCUCCUAUACAUUAUUUUUGCCUCCAAUAUUUGCUAACUUAAGCAAGCAUUGGAAGGUCAUUUGUUUUUACAGGAACAACUAAACCUACAGACAGCCUACAUUCAAGCUCACACAGUUCAGCCCAAUCCAAUCCUGAAGUUUUCACAACCUUAUCAACAAGGCAAAACCUCAUUAGUCAAAAACCAUCCUCCAUCAUGAAAACUUCCAAUACAUCAUUCUUCAGACAAAACCUCAUUAGUAGAAAACUUUCUUUCUCUACCAUGAACGUGGUCCUGUGCGACCUCCAACCAUAGUGAUUUAAUAACACAUCAGAAAUUGUUGGGUCUUGAUACCAACUGACACAAACAAAAGAUAAACAAGUUUUAUUAAAGGUCAAAACCCUUAAAGACUAACAAAGUUUGGUACAAGUCAAAAAACCCUUAAAGACCACGAGGUUUGUUACAAGUCACAACCCUCAAUAACUAUGGAGAGACUCCUAAAAUACUUGAUGUUUUAUCCAUCCUCACUUGCUAAAAAGUGAUAACAUUUCUUUAUUUAGGAAAAAUAGAAAACCCUAAUAAAACUGAAUGAAAAAAUAAAAAAAUUAUUCCAUUUAAGUAGGAAAAAAUAAAAUUCUUAAACUAAAUAAAAAUAACUAUGAAAAAUAUUUAUUUUUCCAAAAAAGCUUCUACAUCACUUGCCAACACUCUCUGGAAGCUUUAUGAUAUAACCAAAUUCUGCAUCUGAGAGGAAAUUUAGAAGCGUACCAUAACAUUCUCAAACAACUCAUUAAAGGAUCGUAUCCAAAUUCUCCAUUCAUGAAUUCCUAAAUCCGAAAAUCAUCCUUCUUUCUAGUUAAUAACAAUUCUCGCAAACCUUACAAAUCAUUUGGAAACUUCCUUAAAAAUCAUUUGGAAACUCCAUUUGUUAAAUUAACACGGGAAACACAUUGACAAGACUAAGUCCAAGUCCAAGAAGAAGUUUGAACAUGUUAAACGACCUUUUUUUAAUUGAAAACAGACAUGAUUUUUUAUUUGAAUUAGGGUACAAUUUUAUCAGAGUGUUCUACAGGCCUUAUUCCUUAGGACAUCAGUUGGCUAGUGGCAACCAAGGUAAGGAACAACCCAAAUCAAAUCCAAAAGAUGUUCGAGAUUUUUCUUUAUUUUACUCAUUAUUUUUAGAUUCCUUUUCUUAGUUAGGUUUUAGAAUUUUAAUUUGAUAUGGUGUUGAUUAGCCAAUUAAGUUUGGCCACUAUUUAAAUUGUUUUUUUUUUUAAUAGAAGAUUGAUUAUUUAGAAAUUUAUUCAAAACUUUUUAGUUUACAGUAUAUAGUUGUAACCUUAAGACUUGAGAAACGUUAGUUUCUUUCAAUAUACACUGUGUCAAUUGGUAUCGUAGCAGGUUGACAUGUUUAAUGGACAGAAAUGUUGACAACAUCUUCCCACCCUAUGAUGAAAGAGUGGUGGCCAUCUAGGACAUUGUGACUGCGAUAGUUUGAAAGCUAUCACGGAGAACCCCAUUGCAAAGAUUUGAUCGAUUGGAUUAACUACCAAAGGGAGACACAAACAAGGUUGUGAUGAGGAUAGGAAUGUGCUUAGAGACUUACCUCAGGACAAACCAAACCCAAAAUCUAUUCCUACAAACCAAUAUAGGCAUUAUGACUAUAUGGAGAGUGGUGUUUAUGAUGGGAAAAGCAUUGAAGGCUUAACUCACAAUCAACUUUUUUGUAGAUGUGUUCUAAUUGCUAUGAAAUUACUUUAUUUGAUGGGGAUUUUUUAAAAUAAAAGAUUUUUAGAUGGUUGUCGAAGUUAAAAGCAUGUUUUCCUAUUGAAGAAAACUCCUAGUUAUUAGAAGGUAGGAUUUGCAAUACAUAAACUUGCUUAUGAAGCCAAAGAUUGGUGGUCCUAUAUUCUAGAUGAUAGAGUUUGUGUUGACAAGCUUGUAAUUCCAUUAUAGCAAACAAUGAAAAAAUUGUUAACUUUGAAGUUUGUGCAAGAUGAUCACAAAAAGAAUUUAUACCAGGCCUUCAAGCAAAUAAAUUGUUAUUACUUGCUUUUUGUUCAACCUUCUCAAAUACUAAAAAGGAAAAAUGUAGAGGAGAGCUAUUACAAACCCGCAAGGAUGCCUUGCAAAGAAGAAAAGCUUGCAUAGCUAAUAGUAACUGUAACUGAUUAGGUGGCAAUGGAACACCAGAAUGAGAAAAUAGUUGAUGCAAUUAAAACCAUCAUAAAGAAGUCGCAAAUGGAGAGUUAACCAUGCAGGUUAAACAAUAGGUCAAGGAGGAAAAGGGGGUGCCAAGAAUUGUGACCGGAUAACCCUUGAUGAAGAAACAACUAAUGAAAGCCACCAAAUAUAUAAAGACUAAAGUUGAAAAUCUUUUAGUUCUAAUGGGCAAACAUUGCAAGAUAUUAAUGCCUAGAAAUUAAAAACUCAUAAAGCACAAUUCUGGAUCUUAAGAAGAAACAUGACAACCAAAUUCAGCUUUCAAAGCAAAA